rnacentral:rRNA from 1 species
CCUACGGGAGGCAGCAGUAGGGAAUCUUCCACAAUGGACGAAAGUCUGAUGGAGCAACGCCGCGUGAGCGACGAAGGCCUUCGGGUCGUAAAGCUCUGUUGUUAGGGAAGAACAAGUGCGAGAGUAACUGCUCGCACCUUGACGGUACCUAACCAGAAAGCCACGGCUAACUACGUGCCAGCAGCCGCGGUAAU